CAGAUCAUACAAUGUCCGGAGGAAAAUUAUACCAAAAACACUGAGGGAAAGCUAAACUUAAUAUGAACAACCCAUAAGAUUUAUCCUAUGCUAUAUAUUUCAAAAGCAUCCAAUGCAACAAUCAAAAAACAAAAGGGAAGAACUCAAGACUUCAUAGCAAACACCCACUUAUAUGCACAGAAAACUCCCAAAAACAAAAUAUAGCCACCAAUUUAACAAUACAACAACCUGACAUCCAACAGGGAUGAAGACAAUUGCCAGCGAAAUUAUAUUCAUUCUCUUAAAGAUUAAGCAAAACCCAUUUUU
rnacentral:misc_RNA from 1 species